UACGAAGGGGGCUAGCGUUGCUCGGAAUCACUGGGCGUAAAGGGUGCGUAGGCGGGUUUUUAAGUCAGGGGUGAAAUCCUGGAGCUCAACUCAAGAACUGCCUUUGAUACUGAGAAGCUUGAGUCCGGGAGAGGUGAGUGGAACUGCGAGUGUAGAGGUGAAAUUCGUAGAUAUUCGCAAGAACACCAGUGGCGAAGGCGGCUCACUGGCCCGGUACUGACGCUGAGGCACGAAAGCGUGGGGAGCAAACAGG
rnacentral:rRNA from 1 species